CCUUGGGUGUAGUUGUGCUAUGCUGUUCUGUCAGGUGGCCCAGCACCAUCGCUGGGCUGGAAUACGUGGCAGGGUCUGGGGCACCUAAGAGGGGCCCCUCGCCUCCUCAAAGGGCUCAGUGGGUGGGUCCAGCCCAGGCCCUGGCCUGCUGGGCUCCUACUGAACUGCAAUGUGCCCAUCUGACAGACGGGGAACCCGAGGCUCGGUGCACACGAAAGCGCAGGGCUAGUGGGCAGCGGCUGGCCUGGGGACCCAGGCCUCACAAAGCCUAUGCUCUUGGCUGCGAGGGGGGGCGAAUACACGUGUCUCGAAGAAAGGAGGCCUGGUCUCCACCUGGGCUGCCUCGGGGAAGGGCGUGGAGGCCGAAGCCCUGGAUGGCCGCUCAGGACAGCAGCCAGCGCUGGGUGUGGGCAGAGAGGCAGUGGCUCGGCUGACCCACAGAGGCCUUUCUGCGAGGACUGGCAGCCAAAGCCACCAAGUGAGGGACAGGAUGAGGGGCCUCUGAGUCUCCUUCACCCUCACCCCGUGGCCUGGUUUCUGCCCAGGAUCCUCAAAGCCUUCCUGAUAGGCAGUCUUCCUCUCAGGCUUGGGACAGGCAGUGGCGGCUCUGGGGACAGGGACAGCCUUCUGGCUGUGGGACCUCGGCUGAGUGCUGCUCCCAGUGUCCUCCUCUUACCUCAGGGGAACUGGGGGGCUGAAGGAGAUGCUGCGAGACAGGCCCUCAACAUGGUUCUCGUUAAUCCAGCCAAGGCCCAGAGGGGCCACCCAGUGGGCCUGAGUCCUGUCUUGACACCCAACCCAGUGCUCCUUCGACCACUCCUCAGCUGAUUCACAAACACUGGAACUUUUAACCUACUGUGCCGAGCUGGGGAUCGAACCCGCACCUCCAUAGUGACCCAAGCCACUGCAGUCAGAUUCUUAACCCAGUGCACCACAGUGGGACCUCCUUCAUGGGGAUUCUUUGCCCCUCAUCUCCUGCACUCACCCCGGGGACAUGAUGAACUGUAAAAAGGUAUAGACACCACAUCUAUAGCGACAUUUCGUUCAAUCUGGCAUCAGCUACGAUCCCACUGAGCGCUUUCUGGGAGCAGAGACCUCUGCUGAACGCUGUGCCCUUGACUCGCUGGACUGCAGCUUUGUGAGAGAGAGGGGGAGCCUGACUUCCAGAGACGGUAGGUGAAUUGCCCAAGAUCAUGGUGCUGGGAGAGGCAGAGGCAGAAUUAGCACUCAGGCCUUCUGGUCCCGACUAGAGCACUUGGCACUGUACACUGCCACCCACGGCUGCCCCAGCCUCAGUAAGGAGGUGGGGGACAGGAGGAGAAGGGGGUGUGGGGAGAAGUCCUGGAUGCCAGGGCCUGCUCUGCCUAGUCCCAGAGAGGUGACCCCAGGCCAGAAGGGUUUUCACAUUUCUGAAAUGGCCUUGGUUUACUCAUCUGUCAAAUGGGCACAGUAGUGGUGUCAUCUCCCAAAGUAGUUGUAGGAAUGGCAGAACCUGUUUGUGGCCUGUGCCCUCUGCCUGGGAAGUUCCUCUUGGCUCUUCAGGGGACCACCUUCUUCUCAUUCUUUCCGUCUCAGCUCGAAUGCCCCUCCUCAAGGAAGCCCUCCCUGACCAUCCCUGCCUAGAGUAGCGACCCCUCACCUGCUGCCUUGCCCACUGCUGGCUGUCACUCUUGUUACCUUGCUUUUCAUCCCCAGCCCUAGUCAUUGGCUAUGUCAUUCAUUUAUCAUCUGUCUUCUCUUCUCUAGCAGACUGGGAGCUCCAUGAGGGCAAGCGCCCCCCCCCCCCCGCCCCGCCGCCCCAGUGGUGUAUCCCCAGGGUGCCUGGCAAGCAGAGGGGCUCCAUAGAUGCUUGUUGAAGUGGCAAAUAAUAAAUGAUGCAUGGGAUAAGAGAUGACAUCAUGUAAAAAGCUUAGUCCAGCGCCUGCUACAGAGCAGCUGCUCAGUGAAUCCCAGCAAAUGUUCUUACUACAAAACAAACACGGACUCACAUUUUGAGCCUGUCUACACAGAACACAGUGACCUUUGGAUGGGUCGCUCUCCUCGCCUUACUACUUGCAAGAGAGCAUAGGGUGGGGUCAUCGCCCCUCCCUGCCUGGAGCAGGGCUUUAAGCACUGUUUCUGGUGGUUGUGGGAACAGGACCGGAAGGGCUGCAGUGGCUCCUCGCGCCAAGCUGGGGGUGGGCAGGCUGGGAUGCAGGCUGAGUAGGUGCUCAGGGGACCUUUGAAGUCCUGAGACACCCUGGUCCCCAUCCCAGCGGGGGCUCAUCCAUCCUUCUGCCCAAUCUCUCCCCAGUUCCUACCCAGCGCCUCCAAGGACAUUUCUUUAUAGUUUGUCUAAUGUCAGGGUCCUGGGCUAGAGGUCAAGGCUAUUCUCUCCAGGACUUAGCACAUACAGUAGGUCUCAAUAAAUAUUUGUUGAAUAGAUUAAUUAAGACGCAUGGGAAGCAUCUCUGGGGCUGUGGUUUUUAACCUUUUCUGAAUUACUGUUUUGAAAAAUCCACAUCUUUGGACCCCCACGCCCACUCUCGCCUCGCGGUGCACUCCAAGUGGGACAUAGAACUUCCUAGAUUUCACGGGUCCCUCCACCCCAAGGUCAUGCAUAAAGCUCAGCUUAAGAUCUUCGUCUCUGGAGGCGGGGGCCGGUCCUGAGAUCCCAGGGAGACGAUGGGGAAGAUGUUAGCCAGAGGCACUGCGGCGCCCAACCUCCCCGGCGGGCGCAGUGGGCUGGCGGAGAUCGGGGAGGGG